rnacentral:lncRNA from 1 species
AAAAAAAAAAAUCAGUGGUUGAGAUUGUUAAUUCAUUCAACCAAUGGUUUGUUCUGAGCUGAAAAUCCUGGUAAAUAAUAGUGGCAUGCCUGCUGUAGCAGUACUCGUAGACCGCUGAUGGCAGCCAGCUAUAAAUGCACACAUGAGUAUAAAAUAGGAAGUAGGGUGUGAUUUUCCUACGGUAGACAGGGGGACGUCUCUAAGAAGGUGACAAAUUGAGUAAAAGUCUAAGGGAGGUGAGGGAAGAAGCCACAUGGAUAUCUGCAGAAGUGGUCCUGGCCAGAGUGACAGCUGGUGUGAAGGCCCCGAGCCUUGCGUGUUCACCAGUGCGGAUGCCCACCUGGUGGACCCAGGUGAGUGAGAGGGUGGGGCCUCGCCUUGGGGCCACGGGAGCAGAGUAGGAACGCGUGUGGGGUCUAAGUGGGGAUGGGAGCCUGGAAGCCUAUCCGCUCUGGCCUGAGUCUAGGCAGUGAAGCGUGAGAAGCGCUGCAAUGGUGAGGACUUGAGAGGUUUGAGAUCUGGCCUGAUGCAGGGAACAGACCAAGAGGAGCUGCCCCAGGGAGCCCUUUACUGCAGAGGGACAGUUGUUAGGAGUAGGUUCUAUUUGUCUCUCCAGGCCAACGAGGGCGUGCCCAUCUCUAUGGGGGACAGCAUCUUCGUGGGAGGUAAGGGCUUGGGGCUGCUGCGGGUGGGCCAAGACCCUUCUCUCCAAACCUGCUGGCAGUGAAGGGUAUCCUCGUGCGUUCCAGAUGCAGCAGGCCGCCCAGCCAACUGGGCCCCUGGCCGUAAGAAGAAAGACUUUUCCUGCGCUGACCGAUUGGUGAGCAGGUGACCGAUUGGGGAUCGGUCACCAAUGGUGAGCCCCGCACCCCGCCCUCGAUCUCUGCCUCACCUCUGCCUUUGCCCCAGUUUGCGCUCAACCUUGGCCUGCCCUUCGCCACCCCGGAGGAGUUCUUCCUUAAGCAGCCCACAGCAGCCUUUGUCCUCCCAGCAUUUGACCCGGUGAGGCCCGAGGGGUGGAAGGCAGGGAACAAGCAGGGGAAUGAGGGUCUCAACUUCUUGUUCCACCCCUCCUAGAGGACUGUCUCCUGCUCAGGGCCUCUCUGCCUCCCAGAGUCCAGCUCCCUCCUGAGCUCUGACCCAGAGGUGGUUGUCGCCGUGGGAUUCCCUGGGGGUGAGAUAUCCUGAUCCCCAUCUCUGGGUGCUGUAAGUGUCCUUCUGGGUCCUGGGUAUCCACUGAUAGUGAUUUUGUGCCUCUCAGCUGGGAAGUCCACCUUCCUCAAGAAACAUCUCGUGUCAGCUGGGUACGUCCACGUGAACAGGGUAAGAGGCUGCCGCGCCCCAUCCCACUGGUUCAUUCCCUGGCUGCCCCAACCGGGCCUUCAGGGCUGCCGCCCAGCACCCCUGCCUCCCCCUGCAGUUCUGAUUUGUUGCCCUGCCCCCACCAGGACACCCCUUCAUCUUCUAUUCCCUAUUGGGCAAUUCCUGCUUGUGACCUGCUCUCCUCUGUCCCCAGGAUACAAUAGGCUCCUGGCAGCGCUGUGUGAGCACCUGUGAGGCAGCUCUGAAGCAGAGGAAACGCGUGGUGAUCGACAACACAAAUCCAGACAUCCCAACCAGGGCCAGGUACUUGGCCCCAUGGGAGGUCUCUAGUAGGGCUGGCAAGGGCCUGGUGACAGCGCUUUCCUGGCCUCAACAGGUAUGUCCAGUGUGCCAGGGAUGCAGGUGUUCCCUGCCGUUGUUUCCUCUUCACUGCCACAUUGGAGCAGGCUCGCCACAACAACCGGGUGAGCCCCUGCCCUCCCCCUCCCUCCUGCCCUGCCCUGCCCCUCCCUCCCCGAUGGCCUCACUCUGAACCAUCCCCUAACAGUUCCGGGAGAUGACUGGCUCCUCUCACACACCAGUGUCAGAUGUCGUCAUAUUCGGCUACAGGUACCUCUAGUUAGUAGGCUGUGGGCUGGUAGGGCCUGGCCUCUCCUUACCACCUUCUCUGCCACCAGGAAACAGUUCGAAGCUCCUACGGUGGCGGAAGGCUUCUCUGCAAUCCUGGAGAUCCCAUUCCAGCUGCAGCUAGAGCCGCAACUAGAGCGACUCUACCGGCAGUUCUCUGAGGGCUGAGUUGCCCAGCCCCAUGCUCCCCUCCCUGACCUGGCAAUAAAUGCUAUUUUUCUCCAAGCUUGGCCAGCAUUUUGCUGGGAGGAAGGGUGGUCGUCUUGGAGGUGCGUCACCAGGCCUAGGCCAACCCCACGCCCCCACACACACACGCGCGCGCGCGCACACUUUUCUACAUUUUCAGGUUAACAGAAAAGGAGGGACCUGGACUGGCUCAGGCUGCUCCUCUGCACAUCUCAUGUUCUACACCAAACCACUCCACCCACCUUGGGCUGUGGAAAGGUGUCACUAGGAGGUUGUCAUGAGCAGGUCAAACAAGAGACUGAGAUGAGACAUGGGAAUGUAGGACAUUGAAUGGGCCCCUAUAAGCUAGCCAGAGCUUGGCUCAAGAUGGCCCAUGAGGGCACAGUGAUUGCAAGCUUGCCUAAUCAUGUGUGAGGCCCUGCAUUCAACUCCCAGUACUGCAUGAGGACAAAAUAUCCAGGGCUCAGGUUCUAUUGCAUUGGACUUGAACGCAGGGGAUGUGGGUCUUGGACCUGCCUAUGGAUCCCCCCUCCAGCUACAGGAGGCAAAAACGCCCCUGACCUAUGCUUUCUUACAGGUAAGUCCAGGGGAAAGAAACCAUGAGCACUACCUGCAAGGUCCUGGCACCAGGUACUGGAAACAGAGAACCAACACACGGCUUCAUGCUUCUGACACAAAGGCCCCAGGAGGUGAGGCCACC